UACGUAGGGGGCGAGCGUUGUCCGGAUUUAUUGGGCGUAAAGCGCGCGCAGGCGGUUCGUUAAGUCCGAUGUGAAAGCUCCCGGCUCAACUGGGAGAGGUCUUCGGAUACUGGCGAACUCGAGGGAGGCAGAGGAAGGUGGAAUUCCGGGUGUAGUGGUGAAAUGCGUAGAGAUCCGGAGGAACACCAGUGGCGAAGGCGGCCUCUGGGGCCUUUCCUGACGCUGAGGCGCGAAAGCGUGGGGGAGCGAACAGG
rnacentral:rRNA from 1 species